rnacentral:rRNA from 1 species
GACGAACGCUGGCGGCACGCUUAACACAUGCAAGUCGAACGAGAGAAGAGAAGCUUGCUUUUCUGAUCUAGUGGCGGACGGGUGAGUAACACGUGAGCAAUCUGCCUUUCAGAGGGGGAUACCGAUUGGAAACGAUCGUUAAUACCGCAUAACAUAAUUGAGCCGCAUGAUUUGAUUAUCAAAGAUUUAUCGCUGAAAGAUGAGCUCGCGUCUGAUUAGCUAGUUGGUAAGGUAACGGCUUACCAAGGCGACGAUCAGUAGCCGGACUGAGAGGUUGAUCGGCCACAUUGGGACUGAGACACGGCCCAGACUCCUACGGGAGGCAGCAGUGGGGAAUAUUGCACAAUGGAGGAAACUCUGAUGCAGCGAUGCCGCGUGAGGGAAGAAGGUUUUAGGAUUGUAAACCUCUGUCUUCAGGGACGAAAAAAGACGGUACCUGAGGAGGAAGCUCCGGCUAACUACGUG